CCUCUUCAUGCUUCUAUUGCUUUUCAUUGUUUUGUCUCGAACUGCUCUUUCAUUGUUUUCGGUUUUGCUGUCCGUGGCUCUGUCUCGCUAUCUUCUUUCUCGGUCUCACUUGCUCUCAGACUGGAUAGUUUUUCGACUUGGAAGGAAAUCGGUUUCGAGGUUUGCCAGAUUUGUGGAGUUGUGAUUGGGGGUUGAAGAUUUUGGUGUUUUUGCGUUUGUUUUCAUCUGCGAUUGACGAAUUUUGGCCGGAUCUGUUCCCUGUUUUUUUUCUCUGUUUGAACGACGGCUGCCUUUCGGUUGUUAAGCGACGACUGUCUUUAGAUCGUUGGAGAAUAAAUUUAUUACAACUGAGGUCCUGCUGACACCAACUCAUCUAGCCAUUGUGAUGGAGUAACUGGGGGAGAACUCUUCGAGAGAAUAAUCAGUGCUGGCAGAUUUAGUGAGGAUGAGGCAAGGAGGAAAUAAUUUGUUUCAACAGUAUACAACUUAGUUUCAAUAGUAUACGACUCAGUUUUUGAAUAACACUCAGGAAUACUCAACCGCGGUUCCAAUUCAUCGUUAUGAAUCGGUGCAAUACGGGUACAAAUUCUUUAUACCCACGCUUAUUGAGGUGAAGUUUGCAAUCCAAUACAUGAGAAGAGUUAUCCAGAAAAAGGCAAAAUAUGACAUAUUAACGUGAACACCAUUAAGAUGUGUGCUUUUCAAGCUUUGUUAUAUCAAAUUUUAAUGCACUUGAUACUUACUUCAGAAUCAUUGGCAUUGAUCAAAUAAGGCAGGCGAGAGAAAAGAAAUUGACAAAGCAGAAAGCUUUAGUGAAAGCUAGAAAGCUUCAGUGAAAGCUAGAAAGCUUCAGGCUAGCAACAGAAAAGGAAUUGACAAAGCAGAAAGCUUUAGAGAAAGCUAGAAAGCUUCAGAUAAUAAUUGUGAAUAUAUUUUGGGUUAUUCUUCUUUUCAUAAGCUCGAAGUGCAAAUGGUACUUGAAAUGCAAUGCUUAUUUUGUGGUUCACAAUUUUCCUGAAAGGUAUUAAGAUAGCUUCUUUUGUCAAAUUUUCCUUCCUUUUUGGUUAUGGUGGGAAUAAUACCGGUUCAUCUUUCAGAGGAAAAAACACACCAGUGCACACUCGGAAAUAGCUGGAGUUAUUGGCAAACCUCACAUUGUAUAUACAUGCUUUACAAUUUGUGGAAAACCACAUGACUUCUGAAAAUGAUAGUAGUAAAUAUGAUGUAUUGGGACUAAUAUUUUAUUAACAUGCUUCUGGCGGUAUUGGAGUUAUACCAGGAUUAUUUCGUGCAUGAAUAUAUUUCUACUCUUCGUUUAGGCAUUGAAGAUGAUGCAACUCUAAACUUAACAUCUUGAUAGAUUGGAAGUAGAUAUCUGUUUUUUAUUCUCCACACUUUUGUCUAACUUCUUUUCGAGUGAUAGUUUAGUUAUUUUCUUACUGCUUUCUUGCAGGUUACAUACAUAUGGUUUAUACAAAGUAAGAGUUUCUGGUGAUGGGAAUUAUCAGAUAUCUGCAAUAAUGAGAAUGCAAAGUAAUAG